rnacentral:misc_RNA from 1 species
AACGCACAUUGCGCCUGCUAGUAUUCUGGCAGGCAUGCCUGUCCGAGCGUCAUUUCAACCCCCAGGCCCUCGUUGCCUGUUGUUGGGGCCUUCAGGGCGGUCCGACGACCCCCUGAGCCCUGAAAAGCAGUGGCGGGCUCGCCAGGUCACCGAGCGCAGUAAUUCUCUCUCGCUCAGGGGCCUUGGCGGGUGCCAGCCGUGAAAACGCAGAACCUCACUUCUACAACAGUGGUUUGACCUCGGAUCAGGUAGGAAUACCCGCUGAACUUAA